rnacentral:rRNA from 1 species
GAUGAACGCUGGCGGCGUGCUUAACACAUGCAAGUCGAACGGGGGACAAUUUAAAGAAGCUUCGGCAGAUUUAGCUUGUUCCUAGUGGCGGACGGGUGAGUAACGCGUGGGUAACCUGCCUCACACUGGGGGAUAACAGUCAGAAAUGACUGCUAAUACCGCAUAAGCGCACAGAGCCGCAUGGCUCAGUGUGAAAAACUCCGGUGGUGUGAGAUGGACCCGCGUUGGAUUAGCCAGUUGGCAGGGUAACGGCCUACCAAAGCGACGAUCCAUAGCCGGCCUGAGAGGGUGGACGGCCACAUUGGGACUGAGACACGGCCCAGACUCCUACGGGAGGCAGCAGUGGGGAAUAUUGCACAAUGGGGGAAACCCUGAUGCAGCGACGCCGCGUGAAGGAAGAAGUAUCUCGGUAUGUAAACUUCUAUCAGCAGGGAAGAAA